GACGAACGCUGGUGGCGUGCUUAACACAUGCAAGUCGAACGGGAUUUAGUAAACAGAAGCCUCGGUGGAAGAUUACUAAUGAGAGUGGCGAACGGGUGAGUAACGCGUGAGCAACCUGCCUAUGACAGUGGGAUAGCCUCGGGAAACCGGGAUUAAUACCGCAUCAAAUCGUAGAAACACAUGUUUUAACGGUCAAAGAUUUAUCGGUCAUAGAUGGGCUCGCGUCUGAUUAGCUAGUUGGUGAGAUAACAGCCCACCAAGGCGACGAUCAGUAGCCGGUCUGAGAGGAUGAACGGCCACAUUGGAACUGAGGCACGGUCCAAACUCCUACGGGAGGCAGCAGUAGGGAAUAUUGCACAAUGGGGGAAACCCUGAUGCAGCGACGCCGCGUGAACGAAGAAGGUAUUCGUAUCGUAAAGUUCUGUCCUAUGGGAAGAUAAUGACAGUACCAGAGAAGAAAGCUCCGGCUAAAUACGUG
rnacentral:rRNA from 1 species